GCAUCGGUCAUUCAGUGGUAGAAUGCUCGCCUGACACGCGGGCGACCCGGGUUCGAUUCCCGGCCGAUGCA
rnacentral:tRNA from 1 species